rnacentral:lncRNA from 1 species
UUUGUCUUUCUUCUUCUCGUUUUCUCUCUUUUCUUCUCUCUUGUCUCUCUAUUCUUUCUUGUAAUUGCCUAUGUUCUCUCUCAAAUCUCCUUUUACUUCCCUCAUUCAAGAACUUCAUGAGUUUUUCUCUAAACUCUAUUUCCCUACGAUUGAAUCCACUUAAAUUUUGAAUAAAUGACUUGCCUUCUCUAAUAAGCUCUCUCAUAUGUUCUAAGUUACUUUGAAUAUUUGGAGGCACAAACUCUCUUCUCAUGCACGAUCUCAAUUCAUACCAAUUUUCAAUGGUGGAUUUUCUACCUUGAUGAACCCAAUAUUGCCUUUCAU